GAGUGCACUGAAUUCCUUGGAUCUGGACUUAUAUACAGGCAGUAGGAGCCAUUUAGUAGAUGCUGUGAACCAAAUCCUGGUCCUCCUCAAGAACAGCUAUGGUAUUAACCACUGAACCUAGCAUGGUUGUUGCUGUAGUGGUGCUAGGAAAUGACCUCCAGUCAUGAGAAAGUUGAUGCCCUCCAGCCUGAUUAAGCUUCUCGGGAGACUGUCAGGAAAUUCAUGAUUAGAAGCAUGAAAGACAAAAUGGCAAGAUCCCAAUAUUUACAAUCACCUGUUUUCUCGUGUGAAUUUAAUAAAGGGAUGUCUACCACA